GUUCUAGCAGCAUUGGCUCGGGGAGGGUUAUGGGAACAGUCUGAAAAAGUACUUGCAGAAAUGAAAGAUGGUCGUUGUAAACCCAAUGAGCUAACGUACAGUUCCUUACUUCAUGCGUAUGCUAAUGGGAAAGAGAUUGACAGAAUUCAUUCUCUUGCAGAAGAAAUAUACUCUUCUGUAAUCCAACCUCAUGUUGUGCUUCUGAAGACCCUUGUAUUAGUUUAUAGCAAAAGCGAUCUUUUAGUGGAGACUGAACGAGCUUUUUU
rnacentral:misc_RNA from 1 species